rnacentral:rRNA from 1 species
GUUAUAUGGUCAAGUGAAGAAGCGCAUACGGUGGAUGCCUUGGCAGUCAGAGGCGAUGAAAGACGUGGUAGCCUGCGAUAAGCUUUGGGGAGUCGGCAAACAGACUGUGAUCCAGAGAUCUCUGAAUGGGGGAACCCACUCAGCAUAAGCUGAGUAUCUUGUACUGAAUACAUAGGUGCAAGAGGCGAACCAGGGGAACUGAAACAUCUAAGUACCCUGAGGAAAAGAAAUCAACCGAGAUUCCC